rnacentral:lncRNA from 1 species
CACGCAUAAAAGCCAGCUCCCUGCCCACCCCCACAGUGGAGCCUGAUGCUCACAGAGCUGCGUGACUCAUUUAUAAUUAUAAGAGGAAAACCAAGGAUCACCAGGCAAAUGAGAAAACCUGGCAACAGAAGGGUCAGUUCCAACCACUGGGAGGCCGAAGGGGAGGCAGGAAUGGCAUCACUCCUCCAUAAGGAAGCUAUUUUGUCCCAAAUGAAAUGGAGCCAUCACUCAAGGGCUGGGAAAUGCAUCAUGGAGGUGUCUGUGAAGAACUCAGCCAGAGAGGCCUGUCCUUGUCCAAGACGGAUGCACCCACCAGGGUCUCCCUGAGGAUCAAGGGCCUUGGGCUCUGAGCUAACUUUCUCCGGAAGGUGUUCUAGGCUCCAGUCGGGGCUCAGAGGUGCCCGCCUGCUGUGAACUCUGCUCCUCAGGGUCCCCAGAGGUCCCUGUAGAGAAGGCUGCCUCCUCCCACACCCUCACCUCCCCAGUGAGCACCUCAGCCCCCCGCUCCAGCUCAGCAGAGACCCUGGCCCCAUACAGGUCAGGACUGGGGACAGCGACUGCAGCGUUUCUCUUGAUCUGAUCCUGCAUCUUCAUCCACGGACUCAGUGAACACAGGCUGACUGUUGCCAGGCCGCCUAGACAGCCCGGAGGACAACUGAACAAAAGUGGGCCCGGAGCUCAUUCUGGGCUUUCCUGGAUACUGCCCCAAUUGGUAUUGGGGUUCCUCCUCCUCCCGGGAGAGUCUGCAGCCACACUCAACUGCCCAUGAGAUCAUG